rnacentral:rRNA from 1 species
UCUCCGCUUACUGAUAUGUUUAAGUUCAGCGGGUAGUCUCGUCUGAUCCGAGGUCGGAGUGUGUA